AAACUGGGAUUUCUGGGAAAAUAAGGGAUAUUUAAGGUUAAAAACAGGGAUUUCUAUGAAAAUAAGGGAUAUUUAAGGGGAAAAACAGGGAUUUCUAUGAAAAUAAGGGAUAUUUAAGUGGAAAAAACAGGGAUUUCUAUGAAAAUAAGGGAUAUUUAAGGGGAAAAACAGGGAUUUCUAUGAAAAUAAGGGAUAUUUAAGGGAAAAAACAGGGAUUUCUAUGAAAAUAAGGGAUAUUUAAGGGGAAAAACAGGGAUUUCUAUGAAAAUAAGCGAUAUUUAAGGUGAAAAACAGGGAUUUCUAUGAAAAUAAGGGAUAUUUAAGGGGAAAAACAGGGAUUUCUAUGAAAAUAAGCGAUAUUUAAGGUGAAAAACAGGGAUUUCUAUGAAAAUAAGGGAUAUUUAAGGUUAAAAACAGGGAUUUCUAUGAAAAUAAGGGAUAUUUAAGGGGAAAAACAGGGAUUUCUAUGAAAAUAAGCGAUAUUUAAGGUGAAAAACAGGGAUUUCUAUGAAAAUAAGGGAUAUUUAAGGGGAAAAACAGGGAUUUCUGGGAAAAUAAGGGAUAUUUAAGGGGAAAAACAGGGAUUUCUGGGAAAAUAAGGGAUAUUUAAGGUGAAAAACAGGGAUUUCUAUGAAAAUAAGGGAUAUUUAAGGUUAAAAACAGGGAUUUCUAUGAAAAUAAGGGAUAUUUCAGGGGAAAAACGGGGAUUUCUGGGAAAAUAAGGGAUAUUUAAGGGGAAAAACAGGGAUUUCUGGGAAAAUAAGGGAUAUUUAAGGUGAAAAACAGGGAUUUCUAUGAAAAUAAGGGAUAUUUAAGGUUAAAAACAGGGAUUUCUAUGAAAAUAAGGGAUAUUUCAGGGGAAAAACGGGGAUUUCUGGGAAAAUAAGGGAUAUUUAAGGUUAAAAACAGGGAUUUCUAUGAAAAUAAGGGAUAUUUAAGGUGAAAAACAGGGAUUUCUAUGAAAAUAAGGGAUAUUUAAGGUUAAGAACAGGGAUUUCUAUGAAAAUAAGGGAUAUUUAAGGUUAAAAACAGGGAUUUCUGGGAAAAUAAGGGAUAUUUAAGGUGAAAAACAGGGAUUUCUAUGAAAAUAAGGGAUAUUUAAGGGGAAAAACAGGGAUUUCUAUGAAAAUAAGGGAUAUUUAAGGUUAAGAACAGGGAUUUCUAUGAAAAUAAGGGAUAUUUAAGGUGAAAAACAGGGAUUUCUGGGAAAAUAAGGGAUAUUUAAGGGGAAAAACAGGGAUUUCUAUGAAAAUAAGGGAUAUUUAAGGGGAAAAACAGGGAUUUCUAUGAAAAUAAAGGAUAUUUAAGGUGAAAAACAGGGAUUUCUAUGAAAAUAAGGGAUAUUUAAGGGGAAAAACAGGGAUUUCUAUGAAAAUAAGGGAUGUUUAAGGGGAAAAACAGGGAUUUCUAUGAAAAUAAGGGAUAUUUAAGGUUAAAAACAGGGAUUUCUGGGAAAAUAAGGGAUAUUUAAGGUUAAAAACAGGGAUUUCUGUGACA